UUAAUAAUUUAUAUAAAAUAUUUUGAUGAAUAUUUAUAUAAUAUUAACAUAAUUCAUAUUACUAUAUAUUUUAGUAUAUGAAAUUUUACUUUGAGAAAAUUAGAGUGCUUAAAGCAGGCAUAUGCCUUGAAUACUCCAGCAUGGAAUAAUAUUAAAGAUUUUUAUCUUUCUUAUUGGUUCUAAGAUAAGAAUAAUGAUUAAUAGGGACAGUUGGGGGCAUUUGUAUUUAACAGUCAGAGGUGAAAUUCUUAGAUUUGUUAAAGACAAACUAAUGCGAAAGCAUUUGCCAAGGAUGUUUUCAUUAAUCAAGAACGAAAGUUAGGGGAUCGAAGACGAUCAGAUACCGUCGUAGUCUUAACCAUAAACUAUGCCGACUAGAGAUUGGAGGUUGUU
rnacentral:rRNA from 1 species